GUUUGGGGAUGAUUCAAGGGCCUUAUACUUACUGUGCACUUUAUUUCUGUUACUGUUACAUCAACUCCAUCUCAGCUCAUCAGGCGUUAGGUCCUGGAGGCCGGGGAGCCCUGCUCUAAAUGGUCCUAGUUCUCUGUCUUCUGGGCACACGGUAAUGAGAAUGUGAAAGGCGUAGGUGGUGGACCUGGGCGUCACUGCUGUCAGAACUGCCCCGCCCUUCAGCUGCAAGCAUGGGGGCCCCCGGCUGCCCCCUGUUCUCUGGGCACAGACCGGGGCCCCCUCUGCAGAGCGUCUACUUGCCUCCACCACCAGAGGGAGCUGUCAUCCCAGCAGUUUCGGAAGCGCGGGCACUAUUGGAACGCCGCGGGGAGUGCUUCUCUGCGUCCCCUCGAGGGGAUUACAGGGCUGCUCCCACCAUGCCUUGCUUCCCCUGUUAACCCAUCGCUCCCAGGGGACUGAGCCUGCAGGCCAUGGACCGUCUUUGCAGAUCUGCACGCUCGCUAACUCAACACACCUCCCCGCUCCCCUUGUCCUCCAACUUGACCCAUGGCACCGUGGGAUCCGUGGCCAGCAAAGCCGCCUCGAGUGUCACCUCUUCCGGGGACGUUCUCCUGUUCUCCUGGCUCGCCGUCUCCCCUGGGCCCUCCCCUGGGUGCUAUUUCUCCUCCCCUCACACCCUGGCAGUGCAGAAUCCGGAAGGGCUCAGGAUCCUUUCUGCCUCCAAGGCAUUUCUCGUCCUUCUCAUUCAAAACAGCGUGUGGCCUUCUGUCCACCUGCUGGUCAGCUCCUUCACUGAGGACGCAGGCAGCUGGCUCUGUUUCCUCCUCCUCCUUAUUGUCCAUGACCCACGUGGACGGACCAUCUGACCCCCUGGUCUCGCUGUCUUGCUUGCCUCACCUCCAGUGACCUUUCCAACACUCCCACCCAGCCCCACUUCCUGUGCUCACACCCGGGACCCCUGACUUCAUCUGGAAAAGAGACCCAAGCGCCCCCUCCCACCCCGGCUCUAGCGCCGCCCGCCCCUCCCCCCCAGCCUCAUCCAGAGCUCGCCUGGUCUCAAGGAAUGACUCCCUCCCUUGCUCGUCUCCCCUCCCUCCCCUCUCUCCUGCCCUUGGCCCCGCCCCUGGGCAGACCCCAGCGUGGCUGACACUCACGGGCAGGCACCCUUGCUCCCCUACCCUCUGCCGUGACUU
ensembl:lncRNA